GACGUAGGGCGCGAGCGUGUCCGGAUUUAUUGGGCGUAAAGAGCUCGUAGGCGGCUUGUCGCGUCGACCGUGAAAACUUGGGGCUCAACCCCAAGCCUGCGGUCGAUACGGGCAGGCUCGAGUUCGGUAGGGGAGACUGGAAUUCCUGGUGUAGCGGUGAAAUGCGCAGAUAUCAGGAGGAACACCGGUGGCGAAGGCGCUGCUCUGGGCCGAAACUGACGCUGAGGAGCGAAAGCGUGGGUAGCAAACAGG
rnacentral:rRNA from 1 species